GGUCAAGCGAAUAAGCGCAUAUGGCGGAUGCCUUGGCGGUAGAAGGCGAUGAAGGACGUGGUAGCCUGCGAUAAGCGUCGGCGAGCUGGCAAACGAGCUUUGACCCGACGAUUUCCGAAUGGGGAAACCCACCCUGGCUUGCCAGGGUAUUGCACACUGAAUCCAUAGGUGUGUGAAGCGAACCCGGUGAAUUGAAACAUCUCAGUAACCGGAGGAAAAGAAAUCAACCGAGAUUCCCUUAGUAGUGGCGAGCGAACGGGGACCAGCCCAGUCGUGGUAAUCGGUGGCGUGUUAGUGGAACGGUCUGGAAAGUCCGGCCAUAGCGGGUGAUAGCCCCGUACACGAAAACACAAGACCGUGAGCGACGAAGAGUAGGGCGGGACACGUGCAAUCCUGUCUGAACAUCGGGGGACCAUCCUCGAAGGCUAAAUACUCUCUACCGACCGAUAGUGAACUAGUACCGUGAGGGAAAGGCGAAAAGAACCCCGGUGAGGGGAGUGAAAUAGAACCUGAAACCGUAUGCGUACAAGCAGUCGGAGCCCCGCAAGGGGUGACGGCGUACCUUUUGUAUAAUGGGUCAGCGAGUUAUUUUCAGUGGCGAGGCUAACCGCAUAGGGGAGCCGUAGGGAAACCGAGUCUCAAAUGGGCGAUCAGUCGCUGGGAAUAGACCCGAAGCCAGUCGAUCUAUCCAUGUCCAGGAUGAAGGCCAGGUAACACUGGCUGGAGGUCCGAACGAACCACUGUUGCAAUAGUGCGUCGAUGAGGUGUGGAUAGGAGUGAAAGGCUAAUCAAGGCUGGCGAUAGCUGGUUCUCCCCGAAAGCUAUUUAGGUAGCGCCUCGAGCGAUCACUCGGGGGGGUAGAGCACUGUUUGGAGAAGGGGGCCACCUCGGCCUACCGACUCCAUGCAAACUCCGAAUACCCCGAAGUGCAGCUCGGGAGACACACGGCGGGUGCUAACGUCCGUCGUGAAAAAGGGAAAAAACCCAGACCAUCAGCUAAGGUCCCAAAAUUUCGGCUAAGUGGUAAACGAUGUGAGAAGGCAUAGACAGCCAGGAGGUUGGCUUAGAAGCAGCCAUCCUUUAAAGAAAGCGUAAUAGCUCACUGGUCAAGUCGGCUCGCGCGGAAGAUAUAACGGGGCUAAGCCGAGUACCGAAGCUAUGGGUGUGGUGGUCUUCGGACCGUCACGCGGUAGGGGAGCGUUCUCUACGCCUGCGAAGGUAUGUCGCGAGGCAUGCUGGAGGUAUGAGAAGUGCGAAUGCUGACAUGAGUAACGUUAAAGCGGGUGAAAAACCCGCUCGCCGAAAACCCAAGGUUUCCUGAGCUACGUUAAUCGGCUGAGGGUGAGUCGGUUCCUAAGGCGAGACCGAAAGGUGUAGUCGAUGGAAAGCAGGUCAACAUUCCUGCACCGGCGGCCACUGCGAUGGGGUGACGGAGAAGGCUAGGUCAGCGGCAGCAGUGCCGUUCAAGGCCGUAGGGGGAUCCUCCUGGAAAAUCCGGAGGGUCGCUAUCCCCGAGAACUGAGUACGAGGGAACUUCGGUUCCCGAAGUGACUGACGCCACGCUCCCGGGAAAAGCCUCUAAGCUUCAGGUGGUCGACGACCGUACCGUAAACCGACACUGGUGGGUGAGGAGAUAAUCUCCUAAGGCGCUUGAGAGAACUCGGGUUAAGGAACUCUGCAAGUUGAUACCGUAACUUCGGGAGAAGGUAUGCCUCCGCCGGUAAGUGGACUUGCUCCACGAGCUGGCAGAGGUCACAGGUAAUCGGGGGCUGCGACUGUUUACCAAAAACACAGGACUCUGCUAACACGAAAGUGGAUGUAUAGGGUCUGACGCCUGCCCGGUGCCGGAAGGUUAAUUGAUGGGGUCAGCCGCAAGGCGAAGCUCCUGAUCGAAGCCCCGGUAAACGGCGGCCGUAACUAUAACGGUCCUAAGGUU
rnacentral:rRNA from 1 species